rnacentral:rRNA from 1 species
UACGUAGGGGGCAAGCGUUGUCCGGAUUCAUUGGGCGUAAAGAGCGUGUAGGCGGCCAGGUAGGUCCGUUGUGAAAACUCGAGGCUCAACCUCGAGACGUCGAUGGAAACCAUCUGGCUAGAGUCCGGAAGAGGAGAGUGGAAUUCCUGGUGUAGCGGUGAAAUGCGCAGAUAUCAGGAAGAACACCCGUGGCUAAGGCGGCUCUCUAGUACGGUACUGACGCUGAGACGCGAAAGCGUGGGGAGCGAACAGG